rnacentral:rRNA from 1 species
CGUGAUUUGGGAUCUUCCUCCGGUUCUAGUUCCCAGAAGCGCCGGAUUUGGGUUCCAAACUCCGCUCUUCCUUCCGGUUAUACACCGAGGCCAUCCUAUGUGGUGCCUUCUCCAGCUCAGUCGUAUGUUCCACCCGGGCCUACUGGUAGACCGUUUGUCAGUGCGGGUCCACGUCCAACCUCAGGGACUUGCUUCACAUGCGGGAAGCCAGGACACUAUGCACGUGACUGCUCUCAGACUAGUUAUGCUCCACCUCAGCCCGAGAAGACUUUUGGCUGUGUUAAGCCAUCACGCAAGAUGAUCAGUGUCAAG